ACGGCUGCAGAUAAAGAUGCUGACAGAGCAAAGUAAAUGACACAGAUUUGAAUUAAAGGGUUGAGGUUGGACCUGUUUACUUUAAACUUGUGUUUUUUUCCACUAAACAUGUUUUACAAAAACCUACAGUUAAACCAGGAGAAUGUAUUAAAUGUUGCAUUCAACCAUAUAUUUUGUGUGAUGUAAUGCAAAGCUGAGUCUUCUACUGGACCACGUUAUGCAAAGUCAGUGAUGUUCACUACAGCUCAUCUAUAAAAGCUCCACAUCAGACUGAGGAGGUCACAGAACAUGAGAGUCACCAUGUUUCCUGCAGCUCUGCUGCUGCUGUUGGCAGCUGGAUCCAGUGUGAGGUGUGAACAGCUGACACAGCCAGACUCUGUGACUGUGGAGCCAGGUCAGCGUCUGACCCUCACCUGUCAGGUCUCUUAUGCUCUUAACUCCUAUGCAUCAGCCUGGAUCAGACAACCUGAAGGAAAAGGACUGGAGUGGAUUUAUAGAGGAGGAGUUGGAUGCAGCACAUACUACAAAGAUUCACUAAAGAACAAGUUCAGCAUCAGUUUAGAUUCUUCCAGUAACACAAUGACUCUAACUGGACAGAACAUGCAGCCAGAGGACUCUGCUGUUUAUUACUGUGCACGAGAGACACAGUGACACAAAGCAUCAGUGGAGCUGAACAAAAACCCCUCAGAGCCAAACAUUAGUAACAUGGAUCCACCAGAGGAGAAGCCUCAGACCAGGAAUGAGUUAAACCAGUCAACAAAUACACAAUGUGUCUAAAAGUCAGUCUUAAGAUAAAAUAAAAUUGCACCUGUUUUAUUGUUACAGCAGAAACAGCU